CAGCCCUUGACAUCCCGGUCGCGGAGAGCAGAGACGCACUCCUUCAGUUCGGCUGGACCGGAGACAGGUGCUGCAUGGCUGUCGUCAGCUCGUGUCGUGAGAUGUUGGGUUAAGUCCCGCAACGAGCGCAACCCUCGCCCUUAGUUGCCAUCAUUUAGUUGGGCACUCUAGGGGGACUGCCGGUGAUAAGCCGGAGGAAGGUGGGGAUGACGUCAAGUCCUCAUGGCCCUUACGGGCUGGGCUACACACGUGCUACAAUGGCGGUGACAGAGGGAUGCAAAGGGGCGACCCUUCGCAAAUCUCAAAAAACCGUCUCAGUUCGGAUUGGGGUCUGCAACUCGACCCCAUGAAGUUGGAAUCGCUAGUAAUCGCAGAUCAGCACGCUGCGGUGAAUACGUUCCC
rnacentral:rRNA from 1 species